AGUGAGGAAUAUUGCGCAAUGGAGGCAACUCUGACGCAGCCAUGCCGCGUGCAGGAUGAAGGCGCUACGCGUUGUAAACUGCUUUUAACCGGGAAGAAACCCCAGGACGUGUCCUGGGUUGACGGUACCGGAGGAAUAAGCACCGGCUAACUUCGUGCCAGCAGCCGCGGUAAUACGAAGGGUGCAAGCGUUAUCCGGAUUCAUUGGGUUUAAAGGGUGCGUAGGCGGGGUGGUAAGUCAGUGGUGAAAUCCUGCAGCUCAACUGUAGAAUUGCCAUUGAUACUGCCGCUCUUGAGUGUGGUUGACGUGGGCGGAAUGUGCCGUGUAGCGGUGAAAUGCUUAGAUAUGGCACAGAACACCGAUCGCGAAGGCAGCUCGCGAAGCCACAACUGACGCUGAGGCACGAAAGCGUGGGGAUCGAA
rnacentral:rRNA from 1 species